GGAGAGGUGGCCGAGUGGUUGAAGGCGCACGCCUGGAAAGUGUGUAUACGGAAACGUAUCGGGGGUUCGAAUCCCCCCCCCUCCG
rnacentral:tRNA from 1 species